rnacentral:rRNA from 1 species
AGCAGCCGCGGUAAUUCCAGCUCCAAUAGCGUAUAUUAAAGUUGUUGCAGUUAAAAAGCUCGUAGUUGAAUUUCGGGAUUGACGUGAUGGUCGUGCCUUAAGGGGUAUGAACUGUCGCAGUUGAUUUCUCACCUUCUGGAGAAGCUUGAUGUCCUUAAUUGGGUGUCAUGUGGAACCAGGACCUUUACCUUGAAAAAAUUAGAGUGUUUAAAGCAGGCAUUUUGCUCGAAUACAUUAGCAUGGAAUAAUAGAAUAGGACGGCAUGGUUCUAUUUUGUUGGUUUCUAGGAUCACCGUAAUGAUUAAUAGGGAUAGUUGGGGGCAUUAGUAUUCAAUUGUCAGAGGUGAAAUUCUUGGAUUUAUUGAAGACUAACUACUGCGAAAGCAUUUGCCAAGGAUGUUUUCAUUAAUCAAGAACGAAAGUUAGGGGAUCGAAGACGAUCAGAUACCG